UCCCGUUCAUGCUAUAGCUUAGUUGGUAGAGCAUGAGACUAUUAAUCUGAGGACAGAGGGUUCAAGCCCUACAUUGGGCA